GACGAACGCUGGCGGCGUGCUUAACACAUGCAAGUCGAACGGAAAGGCCCCUUUGGGGGUACUCGAGUGGCGAACGGGUGAGUAACACGUGAGUAACCUGCCCUUGACUUCGGGAUAACUUCAGGAAACUGGGGCUAAUACCGGAUAGGAAUCCUUGCUGCAUGGUGGGGGUUGGAAAGCUUCGGCGGUUUUGGAUGGACUCGCGGCGUAUCAGCUUGUUGGUGGGGUAGUGGCUUACCAAGGCUUUGACGGGUAGCCGGCCUGAGAGGGCGACCGGCCACAUUGGGACUGAGAUACGGCCCAGACGCCUACGGGAGGCAGCAGGGGGGAAUAUUGCACAAUGGGCGGAAGCCUGAUGCAGCAACGCCGCGUGCGGGAUGACGGCCUUCGGGUUGUAAACCGCUUUCAGCAGGGGCGAAGCUUGUGGUGACGGUACCUGCAGAAGAAGCACCGGCUAACUACGUG
rnacentral:rRNA from 1 species